GGAAGGAUCAUUACCGAACUGUCAACAGGAGUUGUUGCUGGUCCUCAGACGGGGACAUGUGCACGCUCUGUUUACACAUCCACUCACACCUGUGCACUCGCCGUAGUUCUAUGGUCUGGGAGACCCAGUCUUCCUUCUGUAGGCCUGCUUUUUUCACAUACACGCUGUAAUAAAGUUUUAUGGAAUGUGUUCUGCGUUCAACGCAAUACAGUACAACUUUCAGCAACGGAUCUCUUGGCUCUCGCAUCGAUGAAGAACGCAGCGAAAUGCGAUAAGUAAUGUGAAUUGCAGAAUUCAGUGAAUCAUCGAAUCUUUGAACGCACCUUGCGCCCCUUGGCUAUUCCAAAGGGCAUGCCUGUUUGAGUACCGUGAACACCUCAACUCUCAUGGCCUUGCCAUGAUGAGCUUGGACUUUGGGGGUUUUGCCGGCCUUGGGGUCGGCUCCUCUUAAAUAGAUCAGCUUGCCAGUGUUUGAUGGCGUUGCAGGUGUGAUAACUAUCUACGCUUGUGGCCGUCUGUCAGGUAACCUUCAGUGAUGGGGGUUCGCUGGAGCUUACAAACGUCCUUCCCAGCGAGGACAGCUUUGAAUGUUCGAUCUCAAAUCAGGUAGGACUACCCGCUGAACUUAAGCAUAUCAAUAAGCGGAGGAAAAGAAACUAACAAGGAUUCCCCUAGUAACUGCGAGUGAAGCGGGAAGAGCUCAAAUUUAAAAUCUGGCGUCCUCUGGUCGUCCGAGUUGUAGUCUGGAGAAGCGUUUUCCGUGUUGGACCGUGUACAAGUCCCUUGGAACAGGGCGUCAUAGAGGGUGAGAAUCCCGUCUUUGACACGGACUACCAAUGCUCUGUGAUGCGCUCUCAAAGAGUCGAGUUGUUUGGGAAUGCAGCUCAAAAUGGGUGGUAAAUUCCAUCUAAAGCUAAAUACAGGCGAGAGACCGAUAGCGA
rnacentral:rRNA from 1 species